AAGGGAUACAACCUGCACAAAGGAAUCAAUUAAACCCCAAAAUUGAUCGGGCUCUGAAAAAAUUUUGAACUGUUGUCACUGUUUCAAACGAAUGGGGUAGAAGAAAUCCCCAGGAAAAUAGGUUUAAACCAAAUUAUGCAAAGAACAUCAGCAAAUCCUCUCAUGUGUCAUGUAAGAAUCUGUCUGCAAGGGAAAACCAGAGACUAGUGGGCAGAGCUGGGGGAACUCAGCAAAUGACUUACUGGGAAGGUUAAAUUUGAACUAGCUGAAGAGACGAACCAGACCAGAAAGUACAGGAUUAAAAACAUACAUUAUCCUAAUUGGACUAAAAAUAAAAGCUUAUUUUAAAAAUUACAGUGGAGCUACAUAAGUACAAUAGAAGUUGUUGAGUAGACACUACAAAUUUGCUUAGUACACAAGAUCUGCCCCUAGAAAAUGCUAAUUUAAAAAGUAACAGGUAUUCAACCAAUACAUUGGAGGCUGUUGGUGCUUUCACUGCAUUGAGUUAUUGAUGCACCGCAUAGUCCAGAAUCAAAGCCUCAUCACGCAAGUUACAAUUGUGGGCAGGAGUCCCACAGGCUAAAUUAUAAUUUCUCCUGGGGAGGAGGUUUUCAUUCGGUAGGCUACUCCCUACCUCAUUAGAGCAGUGACUCCUCUGGCCAAUGGGGUAACUCCCUGCUACCUACUCUAGCUGUGUGAUAUGUAAAGUCUUAUGGUGCAACGGAUCAGCUCAGACUGCAGAGCUAAAAGAAGCGGCUGCUGGCUACACACAGGCAUGCUAAUGUCCACCCUUCCAAGCUGAUGUAAAAAAAAAAAUUGAAAUGGGAUUGUGUUGCUUCCUCAAAUAAUAAAGUGAGCAAAGUUUAUGAGCCAUUGGUUUCCCUACAUACAGUAGUUGACUAUUACACACACCAUAGUUAAAAUGUAGUAAUGAUUACACUUUUGUAUUAUUUAGUAGCACUGAUAAUCUCCAAUUAUGCAAGGCACCUUGAAUAAGAUUGUGUAACUAAAUGCAAUGAGAUUUAAUGUAUUCCGACAGUAAGAAAAUGGCUUACUUCAUAUAGACUAACAAAAGAUCAACAGAUAAGUAAAGUUACCCCAUCUGAGCAGAGCUGACACACUACCUCCACUGUUCUUUGAGUUCAGUUAUCACUCCUUCUCUACCUUUCUGUGAGAUCAGUGCUCACUCAUACUCCUCUACUCCUCCCUCCCUCCCUCUCUCUCUUUCUCUCUCUCAGCAUCGUGCCCACUCUCACAUAGUCCCUCUGAGUUAUGCACACCUGACCUCACCAUGGCCAUGUUGUUUUCCAGCUCCCUGGUUAUGAGCGGGGAGUGGGCAUGGCAGGAAGGGGCAGGGGGAAGAGGUGGUGACCCUGCACACUUGCUCUGGCUGUCGGCUGACCGUGCAGAAGGACACAAUAAAAACAGAUGGAAGAGAGAAAAGAUGAUGAAGGGGAGGAGAAGAAGGAGGAGGAGGAGGUGACACCGGGCACUACUGCAAUACAGACAGCUGAUUACACGCAGGGAUAUGAAUGGGAAAAGCACCCUCCACUGGUGAAAGAAGUGUAGUACUGCCGAAAAUCUCCCCAGAACAAAGAAUGCUACGACAGCCAGCGUCCCCAAACUCCCGCGCCCACCAAUGCUCGUGACAUGCUGGUCAGCAGAGCUACAGAGCAGUACUACAAUUCCCACCAGCAGUGGAGUACUUAUGGGUUGGUGAUACCAGAAGCUGUGUGCAGAAGCAUUGAAAUUCAAAUCCAGUGCUGACAGAACCCAACCACGACUACCUCCAGUGGAGUUUCACCUUGGAUUUGUCCAAAUGCAAGCCAUAUGUGAUUUUUUUGCGCUCAGAUUACAUCUGAGAUCUACAGAACCUAAAAAGACAAGUGUAACUGGGGCCUACAUAACCUUGAAUCAAACUGAGUGUUCCAACCAGACAUCAGCAUAUCAGAGAAGGUAUUUUGUGAAGGACAUGCCAUGUUCAAGUCCAGUGUGUGUUUGUGUGUGUGUGUGUGUGUGUGUGUGUGUGUUGUUAUAUUAUUUUAUCCUGCCCCUUUUCUCUAUCAUUGGGAAGCUUGGUUUCAUCUUUUGACUAAAAUCUGCACAAGGGUGUGCAGCUAACUCAGAAGCCAGGAACAGUUUUCCACACUACAGAUCACACAGCAAGGUUACCACUAGGGAUGUCAGGCAUCUGGUUUUCGGCCAGAAUGUCCAGUUUUCAAAUUAUUUGUAUAGGUCUGGUUUGUGGUCCCGCCCAGACGAUGUAAUGUAACUGAUAAGUACCUGGUUGAGCAAUAGAUGGAAGAAAUUUUCCCAGUAGUUUGUAACGAAUUAGCAUUUCAAUGACUCCCCGUUCCGAUAGCACAACACACCAGUCUGAAAUUGGUUCCGAGAGGACCACCCCGAUUACACUUCCAGCUGUGCAUGUCAUCUGGUUUUGACCAUUUCUAAAUCUGGCAACCCCAGUUACCACUGAUCAGUGCAGAUACAUAGCUUGCACAGCUAGACAGUGGGCACCAGUAAAUAGGAAGCCUGGCUGACUUAAAUGAGCCCUACCUGUGGUGAACAGUUAAGAUAUUCAAGUGUGUCCUGCCACUAUGUGACAAAGCAGGGGCUUGAAUCUAUGAUGUUUCAGCAAUGGGGCUCAACAUGCGCAAUAGGGAAAGCAUGUCGACAUAGACUAGCAUCCUCUGAGGUGCAUUCCCUUUUUUUCUACAUUCAUUUUAAGAGAUAUUUUAAGAAGGUAAAUGUUCUUCCAAACAUCGUUUUGUCAUUGCUGUUGCAAUGUUAUACUGUUCUUCGGCUUGCUCAGGUCUGCUCCAAAAUCAAUAACAUCCUAACUUUUAAAAAAUGAAUAAAUAAAACUGACCACUGCAGCUUAAAACAAGACAUCAGCUACAUGUCAUGAGUUACAUGAGUACUUUUAUUCAAACAUAAUAAUUAAUUAGUGCCAUGGAAAACAUUUCCAGUGUACAUAUUUUGAAUGAUUAUUUUGGUGGGUGAAGGUAUUGCUCAUAUAAGCCUAAGUGUGUGUAAAAUUAGGAUGAGAAACACUGAAUUAAAUUGAAGCAAUACAAAACCCUUUGGAAAAAAAAAAAGCUUUUUUCUGAGAGAUUCAUUGUUUGGAAAUCGAGUGAAAAAGCAAAGCUGGUUCUUUCAGCAGUUCAUCCUGCAAUGAGCAUUUGUGACCCUUCUCUUUCUCCAUUUUAGUUGUCAAGAUUUUCAUUUAACUUCUAAAUAAUGAAAUCAUCACCACACACACCGUACACGCUGCAAUGCUCACUGGAUGUUUUUUUUUUCUUCAGAAAGAAAGAUUCUAAGUGUCGUUAAGGAAUCAGAGAGCUCUCUAAGUACAGAAAAGAGCUUUAGAAACUAUGAAUAGUAUUUCAGCAUUCACUCUAAUGAAAAAAAAUCUGGCCUGCUGUAAAGCUAGUUAGCAUCAUCCAGAAGCAGGAGUCUGAGCUUUCAGAACACAGUAUGAAAUGCAUUAUUAUGCACAUUCGCAUUUGAUCCAUAUCACAAAACAACCCAUUUAAAUUUUUACCAUAGUUCUCCUUGAACAUGAAUGCAGUAAAUACUCAGCAGCAUAAAUGGACACCAUAUAAAAUAUAAGUUAUAAAGCUUGCUAAAGGCAACUGUUAUGCAGGUAAAGGAUUUUAUAUUUUAUUUUUUAAAUUUAAAAAUAUGAAAAAAUGAAAUUAAAAAAACACUAAUAAUGACUGCCCAGAAGUGCACUGUGAGUGAAGUUCUCAAUCCCCAGGGGAAUUCAGGCAUGGGCUAUUUAUUUAUUUAUUUAUUUAUUUAUUUAUAUGUUGUUCUUAACUUGUUUUAGCUAAUACAAUAAUCUCCCUAUUAACACCCCUGUAUUCAGAUAAGCAGCAUUGUGUUUCUGUCCAAUAAAUGGUUUCA